CGAGGCGGAGCGAAUCCCCAAAAGGCGUCUCAGUUCGGAUUGCAGGCUGCAACUCGCCUGUAUGAAGUCGGAAUUGCUAGUAAUCGUGGAUCAGCAUGCCACGGUGAAUACGUUCCCGGGCCUUGUACACACCGCCCGUCACACCAUGAGAGGUCGGGAACACCCGAGGUCCGUAGCCUAACCGCAAGGAGGGCGCGGCCGAAGGUGGGUUCAUAAUUGGGGUGAAGUCGUAACAAGGUAGC
rnacentral:rRNA from 1 species